AAUUUUAGUUUAAAUAAAAAUAAAACGAAGAACUGCUAAAGGAAUAACAUUUAUCACCUUCAAAAGUAGUCCUACUUUUGGAUUUGGAUUUGUGGAAUUGACAUCCGAAGAAGCGAAAAGAAUCCAAUAUUGUUUAAAAUUAAAGCCAUCGUUUGGUUGCCAUCUUCGUUCAAAACAGUUAAGUUUGUUCGUUCAUUUGUUCAUGCGUCCUUUCAUACAGAAAAGCCGACAAGUCGUCAUACUAUCAAAAUCAUUUCAAAUGGAAAAUAUGGUAUUAACCAAAAUCGUUUGAAGUCGAUUUACACAUACAGGCACGUUUUUUUUCGUCUUCAGCUUUUUUUGGCUACGAAACUGGCGGCAUUAUUUUCCCCCCGAAAAAAACUAAAAACUAGAGUGUGGAAAAUAAGUUGAAUAUGGUGGUAAUAUGCGAGUGUAAAUUUGUGUAUAUUGGGUAAAAACAGGAUAUGGGUCGGGAGUAUGAUGAAAAUAAAACAAAAAAAAAAUUAACAAUAUGGAAAAAGUUAAGUACGUAGAAUGAACUAAUGAAUAUUCUUUAAGAAGAAACAAAUGGAGUUGGGUUGUUGUAGUCUAUUUAAUUUUUUUGUUUGUGUUCCCAACGACUAAUGCUACUGCUGUUUUUGUUAUAUUCAGCUUGCUGCUACCCCAAUCUGCCGCAACCACUUAUUUUAUUUGUGGUACUAGUACAAUUUCUAUCGUAAUUUUUUUAACGUACACAUAGUUGUCAUUAUAAUUUUAAGACGCAUACUUCGAUGGAAGUGAAAAAAAAAUAAAAUACGCAAGUAAAAAAUAGGCAGGAAGAUGUAUUCUGAGAACAAAAAAAAACAUAUUCGCUAUAAGUUCGAAGACAAGGAAAAAGUUUGUUAGCAAGAGGGGUCAGAAGUGCGACAAGUAAAGAGAAAAAAAAUACCAGCAAUUUACCACAUAAGUUCAUAAGAAAGGAAUAUAACAACGAAAACCAAAAAAGCAAAAAACAUACCGAGCCGCUACGUCUACAAAUGGGUUUUUUAUGAAAACAGUGGAACAACACAGAAACACACAUUUGAUGACGAUAAGCAAAGUGCGGAUAUAUGGAAAGGGAGUUCUUCUAAUGGUAUACGGAACAGGCUCAAUGGAAAAAGCACAUUAUUAUUAGAACUAUAAAUCAGCAUGAAAUGAGUGAACAAAAGAAAGUACCAAUGACUACUAGAGCACAGCAGAGUAAGUAUAUUUGUAUGUAGUUGUCGUCGUUGUUCCGAAUGUAUUGUUUAUAAACAGUAAUGGACUAUUAAUGGCCCUUAGGUUAGCAUUUGUUGCACUUUCAGAACAUGUUACAUUU